UACGGAGGGGGCGAGCGUUAUUCGGAAUUACUGGGCGUAAAGCGCGCGUAGGCGGCUUUUCAAGUCGAUUGUGAAAUCCCCGGGCUUAACCUGGGAACUGCAGUCGAGACUGUCUAGCUAGAGUAUGGGAGAGGGAAGUGGAAUUUCAGGUGUAGCGGUGAAAUGCGUAGAUAUCUGAAGGAACAUCAGUGGCGAAAGCGACUUCCUGGACCAAUACUGACGCUCAUGUGCGAAAGCGUGGGGAGCAAACAGG
rnacentral:rRNA from 1 species